UACGUAGGGUGCAAGCGUUGUCCGGAAUUAUUGGGCGUAAAGAGCUCGUAGGCGGUCUGUCACGUCGGCUGUGAAAACCCGAGGCUCAACCUCGGGCCUGCAGUCGAUACGGGCAAACUAGAGUACUGCAGGGGAGACUGGAAUUCCUGGUGUAGCGGUGAAAUGCGCAGAUAUCGGGAGGAACACCAGUGGCGAAGGCGGCUCUCUGGGCCUUACCUGACGCUGAGACGCGAAAGCGUGGGGAGCGAACCGG
rnacentral:rRNA from 1 species